UCAAACUUUUCUAUCCUAGAGCAGUUCUAGGUUUAUUAAAUUACACAAUUAAAAAAGAAAAAAAAAACAUGGGGAGAAAAUCUGUAGCUAAGAUUUUGGAAAAGUUGGAGGUCAUUUUGCAUUGCGUCAGAGCCAUGCAAGCUGUAAUAUGCUUGUCAGUUAAACUGGUUCAGGGUUGUUUACCCAUUCUGGGCACCCAGCCAGCCUAACUUACAAAACUGCAAUUAUCAUGAUUGCUAGGAAUAGUUCCACUUCUUGCCUUGGAUUUCUUGUGCCUUGCUCCUUUUCUUCUUCAAGGAAGUCUUAAAUUUUCCUGUCAGUUCUGAGGAGACCCUGAUUUCCCCCUUAGGGGUUCCCACAGAGACAAGUCACGGGCUAUCAAGCCUUGACAAAUGCAGUCCUUCCACAGAGGGAGCAAGAGCCUCGCUUCUGGGGGUUGAAUCCCUGCUGGCCCCAGGCAAGAAAGCCAAGUCUUGCUGCAGGAGACCCACAACCUUCAGGUUUUUUAUGGUUUAACACAAUCUCUGAAUCUUUCUCACAGGCUGAGGUGCUUUGGCAUUUGCCUUGUCCUCCAUUUAUGGCCACACCGUUUCUGUGGCAAUUCCAGCAGUGGUUUGGUGCAUGUGUUGAAGUAGUUUUCUGUGUCCCUUAACAAACCACAAACCAAAAGGAAAGAACUAGUACCAGGUGCAGGCUACCUAGCAGCUUUUGGGCUGCAAGUACUGUGAGGUUUGAAGGCUCUUAGGAUAAUGCAGUGUUAUGUCAGUGCUUCUGUCAGGUUCCUAGAAGACUCCUUUCCACCUCCUCCCACGUGCGUGCCUCAGUUGGCUGUUUUGGCUAGACAAAGAUGUGAAGCAGCUGGGCGUUAGUUAUCAGGGAGAACAUGUUGGAAGGGGCAGUUUCACGUUGCUGGUAUGAGCUGGGGUCGUGGCUGCCUUAAUGAGAAAGCCUGCAAGCUGGUGAUAGUCUGUUUAGUGGGGAAACUCGUCAAGUCUGUAGCAAAGUUGUACUCUGAUGGUUUAUCAUCAGUGAUUUGCAGGGUCAAGUAUGGCAGCAGUCGAGGCACUGUGCACAGACGCCUUCACGCAGUUCUUUGAGUAGAGCUCCUGUUGUACUUGAUAGGAGAAACGGGUGUAAAAGAGCCUUAUUCUCAGCUGUCAUUCUUGCAAGGGAACUGCCUCUCUCUUUUUGUGCAUUACAUUUUUUUUUUUUUGUACAUUCUGGAUGUGUUCUUAUUCUCCGUUGUCCAUGUAAACAGUUUCAGUUUGUGAUGAGGCAGUGGUCUGAGAAAAUCCAACACUUAUCUUGCUUGUGCCUUGUACUACUGGGCACUGUGUCUUCAGUGAUAACACAUUUCUGGGGAGUGUGCUGUAGGUCUUUCCCAUUAGCACCGAAGAUCUUCUCAGGCACAGUUCCUCUUCAUUGGCAUGAACUUAGAGGAACACCAGGAAUGUCAGAGACAGGGAAAUAAUGGUGGCAUGGCAAGUUAUUGGGGAUUACUGGCCAGAAAUUUUCCUUCAGGGCACUUCCUGGGUUCAAGCCAAUUUCUUGGGGUACAAAACUCUGCUGAGGAUUUCCAAGGUCUCUGAAUCUAAAGUCAGGGACUCUGUUUAUCUUUUCCCAGAAAUUGGCAAAAUUAUAUUUUUAUUUUUUUCCUCAGCUAAUCAACCUGUCUUGGGGAACUUUUGGAAAUUUUUUAUAUGGCUUAUUUUUUAUGUUAUCUAUGUAUAGUGUUAUGGACUGCGGUAUUAUUUGGUUGUUUAUUUUUGAAAGUUUAGCAAUGAAAUUUGCUUUGCUUCAUAGAAAUUGGUGUCAAAACCUGACUUUUGUCUUCCCCUGGAUGUACGGACAUAUUUCAUUUAUAUCUAGAAUGGAAUUUUCUGUGUCAGCAUAAAGGAACAUGUAAUUUCUUCAUAAACACUCAGAAAUGAAAGUGUGACUUCAGUUAUUCUUAGAUGCAGUGCAAUGCUGACUUUACAGCUGCUUCUGUGGAUGUUACAGCUCAGCUCUUGAGAUCACAAAGUUCAGUCUGCAGACUCCUAUUUUGACAUGACUGGUCACGAGGCCUACAAAGCAAGCAAAAAAAAAACCAAAAACAAACAAAAAAAACCCCUCUUGUGGACAUGGUUGCUUUCCUUUGCUUUCUUAUUUUGAUCCUCUUGAUUCAAGUGCUUGUCUCGUUCAGAAGCUCCCAGCAUUGCAUACUUAGAAUCGAAAAACCAUUUCAGAACUUACGUUCAGGACUUGCCAAGUUUCUAGCUCUAAUCCCCGUGGCUCUUUCUGAGCGUAGAGCCCAGAGAGAGGGCUGGAGAAAAGGAAGGGAAAAAAUAUGGACAUGUGUCUGCCUUCUGACAUUUGAACAUAGCAUGCUUCUAUGACAUAGCAGUCCUGUGCCACAGCAGACCUUACUGAAACCAACCCGGAAAGAAAACUAACUUAUUUUGUCAUUUUUACAUCAUGGAGUGCAAGCAUGGUUUCUGUAGAUGUGUGUGUUUUAGUUAUUCCUGGCUUAGCAAGUUUUUUAUUUUCUGUUUUUUAAAUAAUAGUGUUUGACUAAAGAUUCCCAUCCAACCUGAUAAGAAGCACACAAUGGUUGAAGCUGGAAGAGACCUCUGGAGGUUGUUUGGUCCAACUCCCCUGCCCUGGAGCUGGCUGUCCAGGAGGCUUUUGAAGAUCUCAAAUCUCUCCAGGCAACCUGGGUCAGUGCUCAGUCAACCUGACAUUGGAAAAAGUGUUCCCUGAUGUUCAGAUGGACCCUCCUAUGUUUGUGCUCACAGCCUCUUGCCCUGUCACUGGACACCACUGAAAAGAGCCUGGCUUCAUCUUCUAUAUACCCUCCAUUCAGAACAAUAAUGGUGCGGUUUCUGGAGCACAGAGAAGUACCCUUUAGCAACAUCAGCAAUCCAGUGAAGGACUCCUUGAAGGAAACUGCUUGAAAUCCACGCUUUAGGCAAAUUAGGAACUUGGAACAAAGAAAAGACCUCGAGUAACAAAUCAAGAGAAGAUGUGGCUUAGUGUAUGCAGGUGGCUUUCCAACAGUUCCAAGUACAUCCAAAUCAUGUCUUUCUGGUACUGUUUCUUGACCAGGAGAAAAGUAACUAUUUAAUUCCAAAAAUAAAUUUGAUUAUAAUGGAACUUUUUGUGAGGUAAAUAUACACUAAGGCCUGUCCAGUCCAAUUGCCGGUAUUUAACCCUUUCCUGUUUGCUAGUGCCUGUGAUAGUACCUACUUCAGGAAAAUUAGAAUGUCCCAGAGAGAUUCCUACACUGUACUAUUAAGGUUUCUGUCAUACUUUGAUAUUUCAGCACCAAUACCGACAAUUGCCUUCUCAUGUGUCUCUAGUGAAUUCUGAAUUCCUUACAGAGCAUAGAUUGUGUAGUACAGUAAAGCACUUAAAGUAGCAGACAGUCUUGACAGGAGCCUUAGGGGUCAAGACUGAGCCAGGCUAAAGCUAACUCAAUUUUGUAUUCCAGUACCAUCUUUCCAAAUUCUACUAACCAUUGGCUAGAUGUCUGACACCCAAGCAGGUUUUGUAAUUUGUCUUCGUGCCUGAACGAUGAAAAAAGGUAGGAAAUUUUCUUCCUUGUUUAAAAAAAAAAAAAAAAGAAAAAGAAAAAACACAAAAACACCACAUGGAAGUUCUCUCAGACAUUCAGAAAGAUGUUGUUUCUAUGUUCUUAGUACCUGGGUCCAACAACCUGUGAGGCUCCAAAAUUCUCCAAGAACAAGUUUUUUGCAUGCCAGCACAUCAGUACUAGAAUCAGCGUAGAAAAGCCAUCUUAAAGUGCAACUGCUUUUGUGAAGUUGCAACUCCAAAGUGCCUUAGAAGUUAAUGCUGGCUUCAGCAGUCUUUCCACCCUUGUCCUUGAGCCCAAUCAAUCCCUUGUGGCUGCAGCUGCAUUUAAGGACCAGAAGCUAAAUCUGAUUCUUCAGGCUGAUUUAUCUAUGCAGUACUGCAAGUUUGUGUAGAACAAUACACGCAUCAGCAGUGAAACAGGCUAAACAAAGACCUGACUUCUGUGAGGAAAAGCACUGAAAACACUAAUUUUAAAAGAUCUUGAGUCACUUUAUAUGAUCUCAUGAUUGAUUGAGUGCUAUUAGAAGGCCAUCAUUUUGCUGUCUUUGUUCUGUUAUGGUUUUCUAAAAACUAAACUAGUCUUAAUGUUGUUCCAUUCAAAUAUAGGGUCCUCAGUUGUCUGAGUUGGAGGACUUCUAUUUUUUUUUUUUUUUGACAGCAGCUGAAAGUAAAAUUCUGUGUUACUUAUUAGAUAUUUGAUGGAAAAAUCUUCACACGGUUGCCAUGUUUCCUCACAAAUGCCUUUUUUUUUUUUUUCCUGAAGUGUUUGGAAACCUGUAAACCCUUCAGAAAUCAUUAAUAGAAUUAAAGCUCUAUAAGAAGAGACGGACACAGAAGAUUCACAUACCUGCAACUAUUGGAGGUAUCUCUUGUGGACCGACAGCGCAGCAAUUCAUAUUUCAGGGGAAUCUGAAAAAUAGGUACACUGCAUUUUACUUCAGUACCUGAUGCCUACCUUGCUGGAUGGGCCUCUCCUGUUGGAUCUAGUCGCCUGUUUCAGUGAAAUUUAUUCAUGGUUAAGAACAGCAUAAAUAAUCCUCAAGCUGAAAUAGAUGCAAUCUAUGCCCAAAUUCUUCUUCAAGGUGCCAGAAAAGCGAUGUGAAUAUCAACUUGAGUCAAACUCAAAAACGUUUAACGUUACAGAACUUUGUGUAAUGUAUCUUUCUCUCUCCCUUUCAAUAUAAUCAAAUUCGGGUAAGGAAUCCUCACUUUCUUUACCACAGAAUUAUUGGGAAGAUGAUACAUUCUUAAGAGAUAUGAAAGAACAUUCAGUAAUUUUUCUGCAAACUGUAACAAAACAAUUAAGAAUCAAAUGACUUCCUGAAUGUUGUCUUCCUAUCUACCUUAUCUAAGAGAAAACAUCUAUAUAGUUUGAAACAAUAAAUUAAUUUUCAACAUUUCAAUGGAAACUAUUAAGAGUUUAUAUACAUUUGACAGAAUAAAACCUUAAUAUUUAAGGAAGUCUCUAAUUUGCAACAUUUAAGCACCUCUUCCUUUUAAAAUCAGAACUGUCUUUGAAAAAUACAACUAUAUGAGAACCGCAUUUAAAAUGUGUUAAGAAAUAUUAGUUUUAUUUAACCAGUUUUCACAGCUGAAUAUUUAUUCUAUAAAAACUUUACAGAUUGUACAGUUUAUAUAUAGUUCAAACUACUAGAACAAAAAAGUAGGUCCCACAGAUGCAAAAAUACUGUACCAAUCCAAGGUAAAGGCAGAUUUACACACUGUACAGCUCUCCACUGGGAAGGGGAGGUGGGUCAGUUCCAAGUUAAAAACUUCAAAACUGUACAAAAAUAAGGUUUGAUUUCUUUUUCAUUCUUCAUAAUACAUUCAAUAAGAUUGCAAGCACAGAUACCCAAGUAAUAAUAGAUAUCUGCAGUCAGGAAUCAAUAACCACUCCUGAAAGGAAUGCAAAAUAGGUCUAUUUACACAGGGCACUCUUUUACACCAUACUGUAUAUAGUGUAUAUUUAAAAUAAUAAAAAAGCAUAGACAAAGAACAUUAAACAUCUAAUAUAAGGUAGUUUUUUUAAAAGUUUUUUUUUACUUAAUAGUGUGCCAAAAGAAUUUUAACUUAUUAAAUAAUAUAUUCUAAGUGACCCUAAAAUUUAUGAACAUAAAAUGCAUUUUUGGUGUAAUACAUCAAUUAAACCAGCAAAUAUGAAAAAAAUGUAUAUAAAGUAGUAUUCUCACCCAGCAACAGAAGCACUUAUGUAGUUAUUAAAAAAAAAAAAAAGAAAGAAAAAACAGAGGCUAUUUAAAAACCCACUAAAACUAACUUAUAACUUAGGAUAUUCAUACGUAGAUAUUCAGUGAUUCACUAAUACUGCAAAACAAGCUUUUUUUUGUCUUUUUUCCUUCCCCUUCCACUUCCCUCAUUCCCCUUCCCCAAGAGACAGUGGUUUCUUCAUGCUGUCUGGGUAAGAAUUAAACAUAUUCCUGCCACUUUCUACCCACCCCUCUAUAUCUCCCCC